GCAAGGCUAUUCAGAUGAAGUCUGCACUUAAUACUAUAGGUUUCUUUUUGGGCUCUUGUACAGCUUCGCUAGCAUCAUGAAUUAAUUGUGGGAUAUGAUGCACAGUAGUAGCUUCUUCUGUUUAUUUUAGAAAUCUUAGUUUAUAGGUUUCCUUUUCGUCUCUUGUACUAAUGUUCAGGGUAAUGGAAAUCUUGUAUGAUAAUCUGCACAUAGUUGAUACUAACAACAGAAUGAUGACAUGUUUGUUUUUGGGCAUAAAGUUAUGUGCUGAUCCUCUUGCAUUUGGAUUCCGGUCUUACCCUGACUAUGCGGAUAUGCUAUUCUAGGUUGGUUUUACGUUUCUUAUUGGAAGAGUGAGAUGCCCAGGACAGAAUCCAGUUUGUAUCAACGCCUCAUUGAAUAGAAUCAUGUAGAUUCUGCUUCAUACAAGCUUCAUAAAGAAAUAGUUUUAAGGGAGGACUUCAAAGAGUAUUUUGCCAAAUUUGGUAAAGUGCGGGGAUGGAGGGCAGUCAGCAUCCACCUCGAGGCAGAGGGGUGGGCAGAAGGACGGUCGGUGUUCAACUCUCUACGGUUCAAAACCAAGUCCAUCCAAGCCUCAAAGUAUAAAGAAGGCGCCUAGACACUCGAUGGGUGGUGUAAACCGUAGGGUGUCCAUUGGUGGAGCCACGAUGCAAGCAUCCAAAACAGACAUAUUGUAUACGAAGAAUGUUCAUGCUGCCAAGAGAAGUGAAGACAUUGCCCAUUUGU